rnacentral:rRNA from 1 species
CCUACGGGUGGCAGCAGUGGGGGAUAUUGCACAAUGGGGGGAACCCUGAUGCAGCGACGCCGCGUGUGGGAAGACGGUCCUCUGGAUUGUAAACCACUGUCCCCAGGGACGAAAAUGACGGUACCUGGGGAGGAAGCUCCGGCUAACUACGUGCCAGCAGCCGCGGUAAUACGUAGGGAGCGAGCGUUGUCCGGAAUUACUGGGUGUAAAGGGAGCGUAGGCGGGGAUGCAAGUUGGGUGUCAAAACUACCGGCUCAACUGGUAGUCGCACUCAAAACUGCAGCUCUUGAGUGAAGGUGAGGGAGGCGGAAUUUGUAGUGGAGGGGUGGAAUGGGGAGAUAAUAGGAGGAACACCAGUGGCGAAGGCGGCCUGCUGGGCUUUUACUGACGCUGAGGCUCGAAAGUGGGGGGAGCAAACAGGAUUAGAUACCCUUGUAGUC